CAUAUUAGAGUUUAUUUAUGAAUUUUUCCGUUACAUUGAAAAGGUCUCGUUUUGGGUAAUAUGAAAG
rnacentral:tRNA from 1 species